rnacentral:rRNA from 1 species
AGAAUCAACGCUGGCGGCGUGCCUAACACAUGCAAGUCGCACGAGAAAGGGACUUCGGUCCUGAGUAAAGUGGCGCACGGGUGAGUAACACGUGAAUAAUCUACCUCCGAGUGGGGAAUAACUGAGAGAAAUCUUAGCUAAUACCGCAUAAUACCCACGGGUCAAAGCAGCAAUGCGCUUGGAGAGGAGUUCGCGGCCGAUUAGCUAGUUGGCGGGGUAAUGGCCCACCAAGGCGAUGAUCGGUAUCCGGCCUGAGACGGGCGCGACGGACGACGACUGGAACUGAAACACGGUCCAGACUCCUACGGGAGGCAGCAGUGGGGAAUUUUGCGCAAUGGGGGAAACCCUGACGCAGCAACGCCGCGUGGAGGAUGAAGUAUCUUGGUACGUAAACUCCUUUCGAUAGGGAAGAUAAUGACGGUACCUAUAGAAGAAGCCCCGGCUAACUUCGUGCCAGCAGCCGC